CCGCCCGUCACACCAUGGGAGUUGGUUUCACCCGAAGGCAGUGCGCUAACCGCAAGGAGGCAGCUGACCACGGUGUGAUCAGCGACUGGGGUG
rnacentral:rRNA from 1 species